UACGUAGGGUGCAAGCGUUAAUCGGAAUUACUGGGCGUAAAGCGUGCGCAGGCGGUGGUGCAAGACAGAUGUGAAAUCCCCGGGCUCAACCUGGGAACUGCAUUUGUGACUGCACGGCUGGAGUGCGGCAGAGGGGGAUGGAAUUCCGCGUGUAGCAGUGAAAUGCGUAGAUAUGCGGAGGAACACCGAUGGCGAAGGCAAUCCCCUGGGCCUGCACUGACGCUCAUGCACGAAAGCGUGGGGAGCAAACAGG
rnacentral:rRNA from 1 species